AGAAGAUUUAUUAAGAAGUUGCCUGGGCUCGGGGGCCUGAACUAUAGGAAGAGACUCUAACAUAAAACCUAGAACAUCUGACUUAAAAAGGAACUUGAUCUAGAUGUUCAGGUGUCUAUUGAUAACUUGCUCCUAUACGAGCUGUCAGUGCUAGUCACUAUAUAGACGUGUGUUCUUCAUUGUCUAUAAUUGGCAGGCGGUCUUCAUUUUAUUUUGCAAAGGGAUUGAGUCAUGAAACAUCAUUUGCCUAUGUAGAAACAGGAAAUGCAGAUGCUGGUUAAUACACAAAAGGACACAAGGUGCUGGAGAAAAUCAGCAGGUCAGGCAGCAUCUCUGGAGAAUAUGGACAGGUGAUGUUUCGGGUUGAGACCCUAUUUUGUCAUUACCCGAAACAUCACCCAUCCAUGUUCUCCAGAGAUGCUGCCUGGCUGCAGAAUUACUCCAGCAUUUUAAGUCCUUUUGCAUCAUUUGUCUAUGACUUCCUAAAGGUGCAAAUAAAAGUCGAACAAUGGGAAUUAUCAUCUUCAUCCUGCUUUGGCACCCAGUCCCUGGAGCUUUUUGUGGUCUUCUUGGUCCUUAGUGUCAGAUAUGUCAACAUCUAACUUCCUGGAAAUCCUGGACCUUCAGAGACGCAAAGUGGGACCUCAGUGGGACAGGCAGCAACUCUGAAUAGAAGGAAUGGGUGAUGUUUCCGGUCGAGACUAUUCUUCAGACUGGACCUUCAUAUUUGGACCUUCAUGUUUGAUCGCAGGUCUGCAGAGAUCCAAGCGUCGGCCGAGCCUUCCCCACCAUCAAAGACAUCUACAUUAGACAUCGACUCAAGAAGUCAGCAUCUAUCAUCAAGGAUCCUCACCAUCAGGGCCUCUUCUCACUACUAUGGUACAGAAGCCUGAGGUCCCACACCACCAGGUUCAGGAACAGCUAUUUAUGUACAUCUACCAAGUUCUUGAACCAACCUGCACAACCCUAACCCUAAUCAGAGUGAGGUCAAAUGCAAAUUGGAGGAAUAGCAUCUCAUAUUUCACUUGGGCAGCUUACAACCCAGGGGUAUGAUAUUGAUUUCUCUAACUUCAAGUAACCCCUGCAUUCCAUCUCUUUCCAUCCCUCCCCCACUCAAAGCACACCAGCUUUUUGUUCUCACCUAGAAAACAGCUGACAAUGGCCCAUUUUCUUUAUCAUUGUUACUCUUUUGCAUAUCUUUUAUUCAUUUGUUCUAUAUCUCUCUACAUCAUCGUCUAUAUCUCUCGUUUCACUUUCCCGUGACAUUCAGUCUGAAGAAGGGUCUCGACACGAAAGGUCACCCAUUCCUUCUCUCCGGAGAUGCUGCCUGUCCCGCUGAGUUACUCCAGCAUUUUGUAUCUAGCUUCAGUUUAAACCUGCAUCUGCAGUUCCUUCCUACACAACCCUAAUACAACCUUGGCAAUGGAACACUACGGACCACACCUUGCACUACCUUUGUUUCAAUUUCUAAAUAUGUUUUGCAAUAACAUCGCAUUUUUUUCCCCACUCUUUUUCUUUCUACUGUCUUGCAGAAUGGUAUGUAUAAUUUAUGUAUAACUAUUUUUUUUUGUGCAUUUGCCUGUGAUGCUGCUGCAGGCAAGAUUUUCAUUGCACCUGAGCCUCGCUGUAUUUGUGCAUAUAUGACAAUAAACUUAACUUGACUGGAGACCCUUCUUCAGACCUUCAAGUCUGAAGAAGGGUCUCGACCAGAAAUGCCACCCAUUCCUUUUCUCCAGAGAUACUGUCUCACCCGUUGAGUUACUCCAGCAUUUUGUGUCUACCUUUAACUUGACUGGACUUGACUUGUAACGCUAGCUGUGAACCUCUGAAGAACCGCCAGCUAGGUCUGAGCUCAGCCCUACCUUGUAAUUGAAGAUAAUAUGAACGAGUUCCGUGUAAUAACAUGGUGUGUGCAAUUGAUUUAAUACGCAUGGCAAAUGUAAUGAUAUUAUCUUAAGUAUGACUGUUAUCAACGUGAUGGGAGUAAUGUGAGUGUGACAAUUUAUCACCAUUCAAUGGCAUUUAUUCUUAAAUAUUCUUCCCAUGAAAUUAAUGCAAUUAAUCAUUCUAAACCCCUUAUUAUGUUACCGUACCUGG